GUGGCUGUAGCUCAAUUGGCAGAGCGCUGGACUGUGGAUCCAGCUGUUGCGGGUUCAAUCCCCGUCAGCCACC
rnacentral:tRNA from 1 species